GUUCUAAAAUAGUCAGACCAGCAGUCUGGCGUGAGUUUUUUUCUGCGACCGUUAUUUUGCAAUCAGUCGCGUUCUAAUUUCCAUGGAGACGCAUGAACCUUGUCAUGUGACAUUUCAGUCAAAAUGGCGCGCACACGAUGGAUAACCGUCUGCAGGUGAGUAGCUUGAAUAUUUCGCUUUAUUUAAUUUUUUUUAUUCAAAACCUCUCAAAUAAUUUGUUAGCGUGUACCGACUAUGGUUGAAAUGGUUCUGUUUGCUGCCCCCACCCCCUCCCCUCCACUGCUGUGAACUUCGCUUGCACAUGGUACUUUGCAUCUCCCCCAGAACAGCCGCGUGACAAUCCGUGCAUCUCCCCCAGAAACGCCGCGUGACAAUCGGCUUAAUAAUGCUUCAGUGUGUGGUACUCCUCAAAACACGGGACAGCACACAAGGGAGUGUUGCAUGGCACACACAUGUGCUUGGUGAGGCGCCUCUGCUUGCCCUUGCGUGUGCUGGAGAGGCAGACCUUGCAGUGCCGCCUGGUCUUGCUGCCCUGGGAAGUGGUCUGAGGGACUUCAGAUGGGAAAUGCCUGGCUGUAAGGCGCAGAGGAGUGUCCAAGGCAGGACGCCCGCCUUUGGUUGGACCUCGCAGUGUGCUGUACUCCUCCAGCAGCCCUCUCAUCAGCACACAGACUGGCUUCAUCAUUGGUUGCCCAGUGAGGUGAUCCAGCUUGCCUGUGGCUGCCAUACCAGUUGGAUGGACUGUGGUGAACUUUGGCAUCCCUUUUCUGUGUCCGCGCACGGUCCCACAAGCUCCAGUGCCAAGUGACAAGAGGUGCUGGAAAAGUAUGGGACUACUGUACCAGUUGUCAACAUAUAGAACAUGACAUUUGCCUAAGUAAGGUGCUAAGAGUGUCAUCACAACGGACCCAGAAAUCCCAAGUCCUGGGUAAUGUUGUAUGUCAGUGGAGGAUCCAGUGUAAAUGAUCAUGUCCUCCACAUAACCAGUUAGCACAUCACACAAAACAAAAAACUUGAUCUCAAAUCUGUGCCGUUUAGAUGGAAUGAACUGACGAAAUGCCAGCCUGCCUUUCCACUUCAUCAGAGACUCAUCCACACACAGAUCCCUGUAUGGCACAAAAAUGCGACGAAAAGAGGAGGAACUGGUGUCAUCUCUUCGUCUUCAAAGUUGUCCAGAGCUUCAAGAUUUGGGGGAAGAUCCUCAUCACUGUCACUCUCUGCCUCGCUGUCAAAAAUCUCCUCAUCAGAAUUAAAAAAAAAUUCCUCAA